rnacentral:misc_RNA from 3 species
AACGCACAUUGCGCCCGCCAGCAUUCUGGCGGGCAUGCCUGUCCGAGCGUCAUUUCAACCCUCAAGCUCUGCUUGGUGUUGGGGCCCUACGCGCUAAGCGUAGACCCCUAAAAUCAGUGGCGGGCCCGCCGUGGCUCCGGGCGUAGUAGCAACACCUCGCCCUGGGACCGCAGCGUGCUCCGGCCGUUAAACCCCCACUAUACAGAAGGUUGACCUCGGAUCAGGUAGGAAUACCCGCUGAACUUAA